CAGCCCGCUGUCACAGGUGAUUGGGAGGGGGGAGGACAGGCACAGCAGCCGGCAGCUAGUGGCCAUCCUCACCUCCUAUACAGUAAGAUUGAAUGUAUUUUCUAUAUGGAGAAUAUCACUUACUGCAACCUCACAACACACAGUCCAGGACCCUAUAUGAGAUACAUAUGAGGCCAUCCCUGUGAAAGUGCAAAGACAGGUGAAAGGAAAUGGGAAGAUGUGAGAUUAUAAUGAGACACUUAUACUGUAUUAGAGCGGCAUGCAGAGCGCGGAGUAACUCAAGGCGGGAGAAGCGCCCGUGCUUCAUGGCAGUAAAAUGGAAAGGAAGAGAAGAGCGUAUUCAGGCCGCGUGAGGGAUCAAGUUUGGGUCUCAGAUCUCCGUAUUCUAUGACUUGUCAAGGUCUAAGUGAUCAGGAUGCGACCCAGCGUUCGUCUGGGAAUACGCAAUCACAGCAACAAGAGACGACGGAGGAAGCAGCUUCCUAGUGUUCUUAUUUACUGAGAUAAAUCAUUUCAUGAA